AUUGAACGCUGGCGGCAUGCCUUACACAUGCAAGUCGAACGGUAACGGGCCUUCGGGUGCCGACGAGUGGCGAACGGGUGAGUAAUGUAUCGGAACGUACCUUUCAGUGGGGGAUAACGUAGCGAAAGUUACGCUAAUACCGCAUAUUCUGCGAGCAGGAAAGCAGGGGAUCGCAAGACCUUGCGCUGAUUGAGCGGCCGAUAUCAGAUUAGCUAGUUGGUGAGGUAAAGGCUCACCAAGGCGACGAUCUGUAGCGGGUCUGAGAGGAUGAUCCGCCACACUGGAACUGAGACACGGUCCAGACUCCUACGGGAGGCAGCAGUGGGGAAUUUUGGACAAUGGGGGCAACCCUGAUUCAGCCAUGCCGCGUGAGUGAAGAAGGCCUUCGGGUUGUAAAGCUCUUUCGGCCGGGAAGAAAUCGUAUCAGCUAAUACCUGGUGCGGAUGACGGUACCGGCAUAAGAAGCACCGGCUAACUACGUGCCAGCCGCCGCGGUAACAC
rnacentral:rRNA from 1 species